UCUCAAUCUCCUGACCUCAUGAUCCACCCGCCUCGGCCUCCCAAAGUGCUGGAAUUAUAGAUGUGAGCCACCACACCCGGCCGUUAUUAUUUUCUUGAUAAAUUGAUUCCUUUAUCAUUAUAGUGACCUUCUUGUUUCCUGGACUUUUUGUUUUGAAAUCUAUUUUGUCUGAUAUAAGUAUAGCUACUCCUGCUUUAUCUUGUUUCUGUCGGCAUGGAAUAGCUUUUUCCAUCUGUUUAUACAGUCCAUGUGUGCAUGCAUAGGUAAAAUGUAGGCAACAGAUCACUGGGUAUCUUUUUUAAAAAAUCCAUUUAAACACUCUAUGUUGUUUGAUAGGAGAGUGAUAUGGUUAGGUUCUGUGUUCCCAACCAAAUCUCUUCCUGAAUUUGUAAUCCCCAGGUGUUGAGGGAGAGACCUGGUGGGAGGUGAUUCGAUCAUGGAGAUAGUUUUCCCCAUGCUGUUCUUGUGAUAAUGUGUGAGUUCUCACAGGAUUUGAUGGUUUUUUAAGUGUUUGACAUUUUCUCCUAUACACACUCUCUCUGUCUCUCCCAUCCACAGUGAAGAAGGUGCCAGCUUCCCCUUCUGCCAUGAUUGUAAGCUUCCUGAGGCUUCCCCAGUCAGGUGGAACUAUCCCAGAAUGGUAGAUGCACUGAGAGUUUGCACCAUGCACCUGGAAAAGCCACAGACGCUCAAUGCCAGCCAUGAAAGCAGCCGUGAAAGCAGCUGUGGAGUCUGUACCCGGCAAAGGCAUAGGGGCAGAGCUGUCCAGGGCCAUGGGAGCCCACCUCUUGCAUCGGCAUGAACUGGAUACACUCUCUCUGUCUCUCCUGCCACCUUAUGAAGAAGGUGCCUGCUUCCCCUUCUGCCAUGAUCGUAAGUUCUCUGAGACCUCCCCAGCCAGCGGAAACAUACUCCCUUUAGCAUUCCUUAUACGAUGGACCUGAUAUUGAAGAAUUUCCUUAGCUUUUGUUUGUCUGGGGAAGUUAUUUCUUCUUCAUGUUUGAAGGCAAGUUUCACCACAUGUACUAUUCUAGGAUAAAAGUGGAUUUCCUUCAGAAUUUUAAACAUAUCAUGGCAUUCUCUCUUGGCCUGUAAGGACUUUCAGACAUUUCUACUGAAAAGUCUUCUUAAGUUAUAUUGGAGCUUUAUUAUAUGUUAUUUGUUUCUUUUAUCUCGCUGGUGUUAGGACCCUUUCUUUAUUCUUGAUCUUUGGGGAUUUGAUUAUUAAAUGCCUUCAGGUAGAUUUUAUUAUUAAAUGCCAACUGCUUGGUGGUCAAUAACCCUUUUGUAUUUCAAUAUUGAUAUCUUUCUCCAGGUUUGGAAAUUUCUCUGUUAUUGUCUCUUUGAAUAAACUUUCUAGCCUUCUCUUUCUACUUCCUCUUUAAGGCCAAUAACUCAGAUUUGCCUUUUUGAGGCUAUUUUCUACAUCUUGUAGGUGGGCUUCAUUGUGUGUGUGUGUGUGUGUGUGUGUGUGUGUGUGUGUGUGUGUGUUUUGGCUCCUCUACGUAUUUUUAAAUAGCCUGUCUUCAAGCUCACUAAUUCUUCCUUCUGCUCAAACAAUUCUGCUAUUAAGAGAAUCUGAUGCAUGCUAUAGCAUGUCAAUUAUAUUUAUCAACUCAAUAAUUUAUGCUUGAUUCUUUUCAAUUAUUUCAAUUUCUUUGCUAAAUGUAUCUGAUAGGGUUCUCAAUUCCUUCUUUGUGUUAUCUUGAAUUUCUUUGAGUUUCCUCAAAAGAGUAAUUUUGAAUUCUCUGUCUGAAAGGAUUGGUCCCUGGUGCCUCCUAUAAUUUGUUGGUUGAAGUCAUGUUUUUCUGGAUGGUUUUGAUACUUGUUAAUUUUUUUAGUGUCUGGGCAUUGAAGAGUUAGGUAUGUAUUGUAGACUUAGCAGACUCAGCUAGUUUGUACCCGUCGUUUUGGGAAGGCUUUCCAGAUAUUUGAAAGGACUUUGGCAUUGAGAUCUAAGCAGUAUCUGCAUUAGGGGAAACUCCAAGCCCAGUAAUGCUGUAGUUCUUGCAGAAUCAUAGGCAUAAUGGCUUUAUGGUCUUGGAUAAAACUGAAAAAAAUUCUCUGGAUCACCAGGCAGAAACUCUUGUUGUCUUUCUUUACUUUUUCUCAAACAAACGGAUUGUCCCUCUGUUUUGAGCCAUCUCGAGUUUGGGGUGGGAUGAAAUGAGCACCUCUGUAGCCUCUGCCUCUGAGACUGUGUUAGGUCUGACCUGAAGGCAGCACAGCACUUGGUCUCACCCCAAACCCACUGUAACCACUACCUGGCUACUGCCUGUAUUUGCUUACGUCACUGGGCAGUGACGUAAAUCAGCAGGCAGUGAAGCAAGCCAGGCUUCUAUCCUUUCCUUCAGGAUGAUGAGUUCCCUUAAGCCCUGGGUGAGUCCAGUAUUAUCUUCUAGGAGCCAGGGACUGAAGUGAUACAGCUUAGAAGUCUACCUGAUGUUCUAUUUACAGUGCAGCUGAGCUGGUACUCAACUAUGGGACACAAUUCUUCUCACCCUUUCCUCCUUUUUCCACAGGGAGAGGCACUUCACCUUCUGGUAACCAACACCACAGGCUUAUGGGGAUUACUGCAAGGUGAUGAGAGAUGUUCCCUUAAGCCCCAAGUGCUCUUCAGUCAUUUUGUGAUGAAUGCUGUCAGACCUAGGACUCACCCUUCAGUGCAGUGGACUCCUCUCUGUCCCAGGGCAGGUUCAGAAAUGCUCAGAAAUGCCACCCAAGAGCCAAGGCCUUGAAUUCAGGACCCCAAGAGCCUACUUGGUGUUCCGACCUAUUGUGGUCAAGCUGGUACCUAGGGUGCAAAACAAAGUCCCCAUUAUUUUUCUCCAGCAGAGGGAGUGUCUCCUAGUAGCCAACACAGCUGGGAUUAUGCCGAGUCUCACGUGAAGCCUACAUGUCUUGGAGUCUCACCCAAAGCCCACAGCAUAUGACAUGAGUAUCAUUGCUGAUUAUUCAGAGCUCAAAGGCUCUUUAGUCAGUAGGUGAUGGGUCCUGCCAGGUCUAGAUUCCUUCCUGCAGGCAGUGGGUUCCGUUAUGGUCAGGAUGUGUCUAGAAAUAUUAUCCAGGAACUAGGGCCUGGAAAGGGGGCCUCAUGGCUCUGACCAAUUUCUCUGGCUACUACUUCCAGUGCUAUACUGAAUAGGAGUGCUGUUGGAUUCAGUUUGCUAGUAUUUUGUUGAGUAUUUUUUCAUCUUUGGUCAUCAAGGAUAUUGGACAGUUGUUGUCUUUUUUUACUGUGUCUUUGCUAGGUUUUAGUGUCAGGGUGAUGCUAGCUUUUUAGAUAACUUAGGAAACAGUCCAUCUUCAAAUUUUUUGGAAUAGUUGUAGCGGAAUUGGUACCAGCUCUUCUUUGCAUGUCUGAUAGAAUUUGGCUGUGAAUCCAUCUGGUACAGGGCUUUUGUUGAUUUAUUUUUUUAAAAUACUGCUUCAAUUUUAGAACUUGAUAUUGGUCUAUUAGGGUUUCAAUUUCUUUCUUGUUCAAUCUUGGGAGGUUGUGUGUUUCUGGGAAUUUAUUUUCUCUAUAUUUUCUAGUCUUUGUGCAUAUAGGUGUUCAUAAUAGUCUCAGCAUAUUUUGUAUUUCUGUGAGAUAGGUUGUAAUGCCACCUUUGUUGUUUCUGAUUUUGCUUAUUUUAAACUUUUCUCUUUUGUGUUUAUCUAGUUAUUAGUCUAUUGAUCUUGUUUAUUCUUUCAAAGAACCAACCUUUGGUUUCACUGACCUUUGUAUUAAAUUUUGGGUCUCAAUUUCAUUCAGUUCUGCUCUGAUUUUAGUGAUUUUUUUCUGCUACCUUUGGGGUUACAUUGUUCUGUUUUUUUCUAGUUCCUGUAGGUGUGACUUUAGAUCAUUAAUUUGAGAUCUUUCUAACAUUUUAAGGUUGGUGAUUUACACUUUAAUCUUUCCUCUUAACACUGCUUUUGCUACGGCCCAUAGAUGUUGGUAUGUUGUUUCUCUAUUUAUUUCAAAUAAUUUAAUUUCUGCCUUAUUUUGUCGUUCACCUAAAAGUCAUUCGGGAGAAAGUUGUUUAAUUUCCAUGUAAUUGUGUGAUUUUUGAGAUUUGUGAUUUUUGGUAUUGGUUUCUAUGCUUAUUCCACUCUGGUACAAGAGUAUGGAUGGCAUGGAUUUCAUUUUUUUUUUUUUUUGUGGAAAUUAUUGAGGCUUGCUUUAUGGGAAACUAUGUGUUUGAUCUUGGAGUAUAUUUUGUGUGCAGAUGAGAAUUUAUAUUCUGUGUCUGAUAGGUGAAGUAUUCUGUAGAAGUCUAUUAGGUUCUGUUAGCCAAAUGUUGAAUAUAAGUCCAAAAUUUAUUUGUUAAUUUCUGCCUUGAAGAUCUCUUUAACACUGUCAGUGGGGCACUGAAGUCCCUCGCCAUUAUUGUGUAGUUAUGUAUGUCUUGUUGUGGGUUUAGAAGUAAUUACUUUAUAAAUCUGGGUGCUCCAAUGUUGGACAUGUAUAUAUUUAGAAUAGAUAAGCCAUCUUGUUAAUUGAACACUUCAUUAUUACGUAAUGCUAUUCUUUAUCCUUUUUUAUUAUUGGAUUAAGGUCUGUUUUGUAUGAUAUAGUCAUAGUGACACCUGCUCAUUUUUGUUUUCUUUUUCUUUUUUCUUUGAGAUAGAGUUUCACUCUUGUUGCCCAGGCUGGAGUGCAAUAGCAUGGUCUCAGCUCACUGUAACCUCCACCUCCUGGGUUCAAGUAAUUUUCCUGUGUCGGACUCCCAAGUAGCUGGGAUUACAGGUGCCUGCCACACCCAACCAAUUUUGUGUUUUUAGUAGAGAUGGGGUGUCACCAUGUUAGUCAGGUUGGUCUCAAACUCCUGACCUCAGGGGAUCCACCCUCCUUGGCCUCCCAAACUGCUGGGAUUACAGACGUGAGCCACCGCACCCUGCCUUGUUUUCUUUUUAUGUGGUAGAUUUUUUUCUCACUGUUUACAUCAACCCAUGUGAUACAGGUCUUUUGAAAAUAGAAGAUGGAUGGGUCUUGUAUUUGUAUCCAUCCUGCCACUCUGUGCCUUUUAAAUGGAGGCAUUUAGACUGUUUAAAUUCAAGGUUAAUAUUGAUAUGUGAAGUUUUAAUCCUAUCAUGAAGUUGUUAGCUGGUUCCUCUGUAGUUUCUACUGUGUCAUUGCUUCAUAGGGUCUGUGGGCUAUGUUUUUUAGUAUGGUUUUGUGAUAGCAGGUUUCAUUCUUUUAUUUUGACAUUUAGAACUCCCUUAAGGAUCUAUUGUAAGGCUUUUUUAUUGGUAACUAAUUCCCUUAGCCCUUGCUUGUUGGGAAAAGCAACAAAGCAAAUAAUCAAAUUUCUCUUUUGAUUAUGAAGUUUAGUUUGGUAGGAUAUAAAAAUUCUUGGAUGAAAUUUUUCUUAAAGAAUGGUAAAAAUAGACCCCUAAUCCUUCCUGGAUUGUAAGAUAUCUACUGAUAAAUCCACUGUUAGCCUGUUGGGCUUCCCUUUAUACAUGAUCUAACCUUUUUCCCCUGGCUGCCUUUAAGAAUUUUUCUUUAACAUUGACUUUGGAGAGUCUGAUGACUAUAUACCUUUGGUGAUGUUUGUUUUCUACACUAUCUUGCAGUUAUUCUCUGGAUUUCUUGCAUCUAGAUACCAACCUCCCUAGGAAGAGUAGGAAAUUUUUUUUUGAAUUAUUUGUUCACAUUAUUUGUUUGUCUCCUUCUCUUUUGGCAAUACCAAAUAAUUUUUAGGUUUGCUUACUUUGAAUUAUCCCAAAUUUCUCAAAGACUUUGUAUAUUUCUAAAAAUUGUUUUAAAAAUUUUUGUCUGAUUAUAUUUGUUAAAAAGACUGGUCUUCAAGCUCUUAAAUUAUUUCUUUUUCUUGGCCUGACUGUAUUAGUUAGAAAGACUUGUCUUCAAGCACUUAAAUUGUUUCUUUUUCUUGGUCCAGUCUAAAUUGCUAAAGCUCUCAAUUGUAUUUUGAAAUUCCUUAAGUGAGUUUUUCAAUUCCAGAUGCUCAGAUUUAUUUCCUUUUAGAAUGUUUAUCUGUUUCAUCAUUUACUAGAUUGCUUUAGAAGUUUCAUCAUGUUGAUUUUCUUUGUGUUGUCUUGGAUCUUUUUGAGCUUCCUUGCAAUCCAUGCUUCAAAUUUUUAUCUAUAAUUUCUCAGUUUCCAUUUUGAUUACAUUGCUGGAGAGCUCUUUCCAUCCUUUGGUGUGUCAUUACAUUUAGAUUUUUCAUGGUGCCCAAAUUCUUGUGCUGUUUCCUUCUCAUCUGGGGACAUUAACAUUUACAAUUUUGUAAUUAUUUUCAUACAGGUGAAUAUUUUAUUUUUGUUUUAUUCCCUAUAUAUUUUUUUUCUUUUCCUUUCCCUCUUCACUAUAGGGUGUGACUCUUGAGAGUACUGAGCAGGGUCUUUUGGCUUUGUUUCUAUAGCCCUAUGCACGUCUGUCACUAGGUUUUAUACUGGGCUGUGCAGUUUGACCUACAAGCCAGUAGAUGGUACUUACAGGUAACAGCCAGCUGCAGCCAAUGUGGCUGAGUAUAUACUUGAUCUUGUUACUGAGAUAAUCUCUCUGUUUCCUCAGGAAAUGGGCUGAUUCAUGAAGUACACAGUGGUCUUAGCUCCCUGCUUAGUCUUGGGGGACUGGGGCCAAGAUAGGCAGGGCUGGCCUAGGCAGGUUCACCUACAGGUCCCCCAAUUGCCAGCAUAAGCACCAAAACUGAGGAAGAAUUCAGUGGGUGGCCACCAAGCACCCACAAAUAUGUCUAAAUGUGGAUUUAGGAAGCCUUUCUGGCCCCAGGUUCUCUGCAUUGGGAUGGUGGCUGGUCUAAACUCCUAAUUUUAGAACAGUGGGUGCUCCAGAUGCCUGGAGAUCUCCCUGUAUAUCAAGCAUGGAGUCCCCUCCAUGCACCAGGAUUUCUGCACAGGAAGUGUGGGGUAGCUCAGGCCACUAUUUGAGGCAAACAGGUGCUCUAGAUGCCUAGAGAUGGGCCUGGGUUGGAGUAGAGAGGGCUUCUAUGCAAGAAGAUUUCUGCAUAGGAAGAGUAGGGUGAGAGAGACUGCCAAUCCCAGUGAGCAGAUGUUCUGAAUGCCUGGAUCUCUGCCUGGGCUUAGAGCAGAAAGAACCUCACUGCACCAUGAUGUAAGCCCAGGAAGAAUGGGGUAUAUGAGACUGAUGAACCAGUUGAAUGAUUACUCCAAAUACCUGGAGAUCUGCCUGGGCAUGAAGCAGAAAGUUCCUCCCUGCACCAUGAUCUAUGUCUAGGAAGAGUGGAGAAGUUUUCUCAAGAGGGAUUUGCAGAGACAGGAUGCUAUGAAAUUACCUCUCCCAUGCCCUCCACAGUACUAAGACUGAGGUACCUGUCUACAUCAAAAGAUGAGUACUACAAUGCAGAUGACUUAGCCAGGACUGAUAUUCUUAGAAGAAAAAAGAUUAAGACACAGACAGAAGAAAGACCAUGUAAAGGCACAAGGAGAAGACAGCCAUUUACAAGCCAAGAAGAGAGGUCUCUGAAAAACCAACCCUGCUGGCACCUUGCUCUUGGACUUCUGGCCUCCAGAUUUAUGAGGAAGUAAAUUUCUGUUGUUCAAGCAACCUGAAUUGGUUUACUUUCAAAUGGCAGCCCCAACAAACUGAUAGUUGGCUGACUAGGGAUGUUGGAUGCCAGGUCUCCUCAGAAAGAUCAAAGUUACAGGUGAAUGCCCAUGAUUUAAAUGGAAAUCUGAGGGAAUGAAGCAAGGACCUGUUGGAGCACCCAUGGGAAGAACCUGGGGCACAAAAGAGGAAAGCAGCAAGAGACUGACAGAGAUUGUCUCCCUAGAAACCUGGACCACGAAAAGGGUGGAGAGGAGAAAACUCUGUGCUAAAUAUUACUCCUGGAAAAGUGCAUUUGCUUCGGAGAAAUCUUUAUCAUGGGUCUCUAAGAGGAAGGAACAAUAGCAUCUUCUAUGUGCCGAGGUAGCGCAAUAAUGAACUCUGUUCAAGUGGAUCAAAAGCCAUCAAGGUCAAAAUUAGGCACAGGCUGUACAGGAAGCGUGAUUCUGGCAUCUGUUUGGUUUCUGGGAAGGCCUCAGGAAACUUAAAGUCAUGGAAGAAGGGGAAGGGAGAGCAGGCACGUCUUACAUGACCAAAGCAGGAAGAAGAGAGAGAAGUGUGGAGGAUAUGGAUGUUACUUUUUCUCCAAGCAUAGGGAAAGUGCCUCUGAAAUAAAGAUUUUAUGACUUGCUUCAGGAAAGAAGAGCAAGAGGAAGGUGACGGUGAUCUUCCUGAAUCUGCUGUUUUCUCAAAUGCCCAGGUACCAUAUUUUGGUGUAACGUCCCCAUCACAUCAUUGUCACCAGUUUUGGGAUAUUACAAAUAAGAUUUGUAAUGAAUAUUCAUAAGCAGAUUUUUUUUUUUUUUUUGAGACGGACUUUCGCUCUUGUUGCCCAGGCUGAAGUGCAAUGGCACGAUCUCGGCUCACUGCAACCUCUGCCUCCCAGGUUUAAUUGAUUCUCCUGCCUCUGCCUCCUGAGUAGCUGGGAUUAAAGGUAUGUGCACACACACCCAGCUAAUUUUGUAUUUUUAGUGGAGAUGGGGUUUCACCAUUUGGUCAGGCUGGUCUUGAACUCCUAACUGCAGGUGAUCCAUCCGCCUGGGCCUACCAAAGUGCUGGGAUUACAGCCAUGAGCCACUGCGCCUGGCCACAUGAGCAGAAUUUUGUGUGGAAAUAAGUUUUCAUUUCUUUGAGAUCAGUUAUGUAUUUGUUCUGUUUCUUUUUCCAACUUUUUAAAAAAUUUCAGCUGGAAUAACUUUUAACUAAUUGUCUUCAAAUUCAAUGAUUCUUUUCUCUGCUGUGUUCAAUUUGCUGAUAACCCACUGAGGACAUUCUCAUUUCUUACACAUAUGUAUGCGUGUGUGUAUGUUUGUGUGUGUGCGUGCAUGCGUUUUCAUUAAUCUCAUUUUUAUAGUUUCCAUUUCUGUGUAUUAUAAUAUUCUAUCUCUGGUUAUGCAUAUUUGAUACCUUUUCCACUAGAUUCUUUAUAAUGCAAAAGUUAUUUAUAAAUAUUUUUUUCCCUAGUAAUUCCAACAUUUGGGCCCUUUAUGUAUCUUCUUCUUUUGAUAUCUAUUGAAUGUGGAUGAUUUAUAUUCAUGGUGUGUAUGUGUGUAUACAUUUCUUUAUUGGAUUACAGACAUAUUAUGUAUAUAAACAAUAAAAAUUGAGAUAAAUAAUCUUUGUGCCCAGUAAUAGACAUGCCUUUUCUUUUUUAAAUUGUUAAAGGUUAUGUCAAAAAGACUCAGGUGUCAUAUUGAAGAGGCUGCCACUGGGCAAACAUGAUACAAUUUGAGCUCCAAAAGUGGUAAUAUGUAAGACUAAAUUAAAUUCAUCAAAUAUGUUUAAAGUCAUAAUUUCUUAAUAAUAAUAAUUAGACAAUUUUAGGAAAAUAAUAGGGAAGCAAAUCAUUAUCCUUAAAAUAAGAUAUAAAAGGAAAAGAUUUAUCCUGUCCUUCCAAAGGAGUUAUAUUACUAUGAAACCAAAUAGUAGUUGCUAUGGUCUGAAUACUCAUGUCUCCCCAAAAUCUCUGUUUUGAAAUCCUCACUCCCAAGUUGGAUGGUUUCAGGAGGUGGAGCCUUUGGGCAAUGAUUAAGUAAUAGGUUGGGCCCCUCGUGAGUAAGAUUCAUGCCCUUAUAAGAGGUCUGAGAGACAUUCCUCAUCCCUUCCACCAUGUAAGGACACAGAAACAAGGCACUGUCUAUGAGCCAGGAAUUGGGCUCUGACCAGACACUGAAUCUGCCUUGGCCAUGGACAUUCCAGCUUCCAGAAGUAAGAGAAAUAAAUUUCUAGUUUGUGGUUAUUUGUUAUAGUGGCCCAAGUGGACUCAGGCAGUAAUUGAACCGUGUUUUUACCUUUAAUUUGGCUAUUGCCAUUUGCUACUCACUAGGCAGCAGCAAUUGAUUUAGUCAUGGAAGGUCAACCACUGAUUAUACCACAAGACGUGCUUCUUGAUAAAACAAGACAAUACCUAUAGUCUUGCCAAAGGAAUUGAAAAUGAAUCUGAGGAAAACUCUGGGGCCAACUGGCAAUUUGCAAAAAGUAUAAAUGACAGAGGAACAUCCUGAAAUGAGUAUGCAAUCAGCAAAAUCCAGACUGCAGAAAAACCUAAAUGUCAAACAUCACAUGAUUUUCAACAAAUAAGUUACAAGGAAAUAAAAAGGACAGAAGGGAAUCUGUAAAUUAGAAAAGACUGAAACAUAAAAUUAAAAUAAAGUUGGCAAGACUAAACUGUUAUUUGGGAAGCACACCUGGAGGAUAAAACGUUGAUAAUAUGAAAGGAAAUGACUAAUAUAAGAGUCAGGAUGCUGGCUAAUCUUGAGGGAAAGGGUGGUUUUGAGACUGAAUCUGAGCCCAUGAGGAGCCUCUACUGUUUGUGGCUUUGUUAUAUUUCUUGGAUUUUGUAGUUUUUACCUUAUUAAAAUUUAUAAGAAUUUACUAAGCCAUGUGACUGCUGUUUACAGUUUUCUUCCAUCUGUAUUCUAUUUUACAUUUAAAGAGGCUUUUUAAAAAGACAGAGAAGAUCAUUUUACAUAUUAAUCCUUAAUAAUUCAGAAGGGCACAAUGAAACUGCACUGAGAUACUAAUAGAAAAUAAAAACAAACACGUUUUUCUUUUUCUUUUUUUUUGAGACCGAGUCUCACUCUGUCGCCCAGGCUGGAGUGCAGUGGCAUGAUCUCGGUUCACUGCAACCUCCGCCUCCUGGGUUCAAGCAAUUCUCCUGCCUCAGCCUCCUGAGUAGCUGGGAUUACAGGUAGGUGCCACCAUGCCUGGCUAAUUUUUGUAUUUUUAUAGAUAACACGGUUUCACCAUGCUGGCCAGGCUGGUCUCAAACUACUGACCUCAGUUGACCCUCCCGCUUCAGCCUCCCAAAGUGGUGUAAUUACUGGUGUGAGCCAUCGCUCCUGGCCUACAUUUUUCUUUAUGUGAAAAGAAUCAAAGAACAUCAAUGUACUCUUUCUUGUUAAUAGUUUCCAAAAAGUCAUUUAUUUGAUGACUGGGUAGAUCCCAUUAUUUAAUUAUUUUGAAAAGUACAUAUUUUAUUUUAUUCAUGAGUCAUGGUCAUUUUAAGAGUUUGGAUUUCACCUGAACAGAAUUGUGGUUUAUUUUAACAUUCAAUGAAAUAAUAGAUCAAUUCAACAAACUACACAUUUCACACUUGCUUUGAGAUAAAUUGACCUUCACCGAAUUAGCUUCUCUUCACAAGGUAACCUAUAUAAAAAAUGCCAAUUUGCAUGAAGACCUUUUAAAAGACAGCAGGGGUUCAGUACAAGCUACUGAGAGUUUUCUUGUUCUCUAACAGAAAUUCACUCAAGAAUAAUGAAAAGUGACUUUUUCAUGCACCUUCCUUUAUUUUCGUGCCUGAAAUCACAGAUUGUACACAAAGGGAAUGUGCUAAGCUGAACAUAGGCAAGAAACAGCAAUGGCAGCAACAACAAAAGUUAGUGAUGCAUUGAAAUCUAUAUAUCGUUAUGUAGUCCCUCC
rnacentral:lncRNA from 10 species